AACGAACGCUGGCGGCGCGCCUAAUACAUGCAAGUCGAGCGAGAAGACGUAGCAAUACGUUUGUAAAGCGGCGAACGGGUGAGGAAUACAUGGGUAACCUACCCUCGAGUGGGGAAUAACUAGCCGAAAGGUUAGCUAAUACCGCGUACGCUCCUUGGACUUCGGUUCAGGGAGGAAAGCGAUACCGUGGGUAUCGCGCUCUUGGAUGGGCUCAUGUCCUAUCAGCUUGNGGUGAGGUAACGGCUCACCAAGGCUUCGACGGGUAGCUGGUCUGAGAGGACGAUCAGCCACACUGGCACUGCGACACGGGCCAGACUCCUACGGGAGGCAGCAGUAAGGAAUAUUGCGCAAUGGGCGAAAGCCUGACGCAGCGACGCCGCGUGAAGGAUGAAAUCUUUCGGGAUGUAAACUUCGGAAGAAUAGGAAGAAUAAAAUGACGGU
rnacentral:rRNA from 1 species